CCUCUUUCUUUCCUCACUUUCCUGCACAUCUGUUUCUCACUUUCCUCUUCUUAGGUCUCUAUCUCUUUUCUCAUCGACUUCACUUAAUUCAUCAUCUUCUCAAGAAUAAUCGGCUUCUCCAUUUGAUUUGUUACAAUUUGUCACUCUAUUCAUCAAUUUUCACCGUGAUUGAUUUGGAUGUUUCAAAGAAGACAUAACUUAACAUAUUUGGGUAUUUAGAAGUCGAAGUCGUUGUUGCAAGAUUCAAGUUAUACCUUCAAGAAACAAGUGUCGUUUCCUAAUUUAAUGUCUUCGUCAAAGGCAAGAUUACAAGUGAAGAACAUGGGAGGAUUUCUCACUGCUUAUAUUUCUAAAUAAAUGAAGAA